rnacentral:rRNA from 1 species
CAGCCGCCGCGGUAAUACGUAGGGUGCAAGCGUUAAUCGGAAUUACUGGGCGUAAAGCGUGCGCAGGCGGUUUGUUAAGACAGAUGUGAAAUCCCCGGGCUCAACCUGGGAACUGCAUUUGUGACUGGCAAGCUAGAGUCUGGCAGAGGGGGGUGGAAUUCCGCGUGUAGCAGUGAAAUGCGUAGAUAUGCGGAGGAACACCGAUGGCGAAGGCAGCCCCCUGGGCCAAUACUGACGCUCAUGCACGAAAGCGUGGGGAGCAAACAGGAUUAGAUACCCCGGUAGUCCCUGUCUCUUAUAC